rnacentral:rRNA from 1 species
GAUGAACGCUGGCGGCGUGCUUAACACAUGCAAGUCGAACGGAAAGGCCAGUGCUUGCACUGGUGCUCGAGUGGCGAACGGGUGAGUAACACGUGGGUGAUCUGCCCUGCACUUUGGGAUAAGCCUGGGAAACUGGGUCUAAUACCAGAUAGGACCAUGCUUUGGAUGGUGUGGUGGAAAGUUUUUUCGGUGUGGGAUGAGCUUGCGGCCUAUCAGCUUGUUGGUGGGGUAAUGGCCUACCAAGGCGUCGACGGGUAGCCGGCCUGAGAGGGUGUACGGCCACAUUGGGACUGAGAUACGGCCCAGACUCCUACGGGAGGCAGCAGUGGGGAAGAUUGCACAAGGGGCGCAAGCCUGAUGCAGCGACGCCGCGUGGGGGAUGACGGCCUUCGGGUUGUAAACUCCUUUCGCAACUGACGAAGCUUUUUGUGACGGUAGGUGGAGAAGAAGCACCGGCUAACUACGUG